UGUUAGGAGCGGAUCUAGCUCUCGUCGUUAGCCCGGCAUUCCCCACUCCGUCGGACGCCGUCCACCUUUGUCGGCUCUGCGUGGUUGUUCUGGGCAAGCAGUGAAGAAUGUUCGAAUCCUAGGGCUUUUUCUACUCCCAAAAUCCGUUAGCUAUAUACUAAGAACCAGGAGAAUCUGGACCUGCUUAUAAUGUUUCUUCAACGAAUUGUAGGUUCAUGUCCUCCCUUGAAGAGGAUGUUUUGCACUUACAGUGGCCGUGACCUUGCAAGUGAUAUUCAAGAACUCAACGAGCAAUUGGAGUCAAUAUUUGGUCAACCUCCUUCAAAUAGAUUUGAUGGCGCUGUGGGUAAUGGUCCUGCAAAUAACCCAAAAACAUGUGAAAGUACUUCUGGUUUGACUCAUACCAGCACUAGUGGGGAGGCUCAAAUGGUGGAUGUGUCCCCAAAAGAAAAUACUAAAAGAACUGCUAUUGCGAGUUGCAAGGUAAUUCUUGGAAAGCAUGUGUUUGAUUUGGUUUUAGCAAAUCAAAUGGCCAAAGGGGAUGUGCUUGGUGUGGCGAAAAUCGCAGGCAUAAGUGGUGCUAAGCAAACCAGUGGUCUUAUUCCAUUGUGCCAUAACAUAAUUCUUAGUCACGUACGAGUGGAUUUGGAAUUGAAUCAUAAAGACCACAGUGUAAUGAUAGAAGGGGAAGCUGCAACAACAGGGAAAACUGGUGUUGAGAUGGAAGCCAUGACAGCAGUUACUAUUGCUGGCUUAACAGUGUAUGAUAUGUGUAAGGCUGCUUCAAAAGAUAUAGUUAUUACAGAUGUGAGACUAAAGCAUAAAGCAGGUGGCAAGAGUGGGGAUUGGUCAUCGGGACAGUAAUGUUUCAAAAGAUAUGGUGAUGUGCUAGUUUGGACAACACAACAAGAAAGAAGCACCUGAAUGGCGAGAUCUGAACAAAGGGAGAGUAGGGAGAAAUGGAAACAUAGAGUCUGAAACGAGAAUGAGGAACAGAACAGUAGGGGCAACAAGAAAGGGAGAGGCCGAACACAGAGAGAGGAGGAAGGCUAUCAGAAACUCAAUCGCAAUAUUUCAUUCAUCAAGUCUAGUCUAUCUUACAAGCGCAAGGCUUAGUCUAUUUAAACUAAGCUUUCCUACCUAUUAAGGAGACCUUAAUAACCUAUCCAUAUAAAGCUAAGUUACAGAUUUCCUCUUACCAAAAUAAAACAAAAGGAGACCUAUUUCUUCCUAGAAUAAGCCACAACCCAGGUAGAUUUCUUACAAGCCAAAACAAAAUACAAUAAUGAUACACUAGCCUAGGUUUCUUUAAAAUACGUUGUUGUUAUAUUUCAUCAUCCUCCUCUCUAUUUCUCUCCCUUUCUCUCUCCUGUCAGACACAACAUCCUGGAAGCCCAACGACUAUUUUCUUAACUAGGUAGCUCCUGUAUGAGUUUUAGGACAUUGAUUUGUUUUGCUAUAAAACAUACGAUCAUACUUUUUCCUUUCCUUAUAUGAUGAAUUUGGAUUGACUUACUGAAGCUUGGUUGUUUUUAAGUUUAUGACUCGAUUGAGAUUAUUUUU